rnacentral:rRNA from 1 species
UUUCGCAAUGCCCGAAAGGGUGACGAAGCGACGCCGCGUGAGUGAGGAAGGCCUUCGGGUUGUAAAGCUCUGUCAGGAGUUAAGAGAUAUAAGUGUGUUAAUACCACAUUUAUUUGACGAAGGCUCCAAAGGAAGCCACGGCUAACUCUGUGCCAGCAGCCGCGGUAAUACAGAGGUGGCAAGCGUUGUUCGGAAUUAUUGGGCGUAAAGAGCACGUAGGUGGGUUUGUAAGUCAGAUGUGAAAGCCUUCUGUUCGACGGAAGAAUUGCAUCUGAAACUGCGAGUCUUGAGUGUAGGAGGGGAGAAUGGAACUUCUGGUGGAGCGGUGAAAUGCGUAGAUAUCAGAAGGAACGCCGGCGGCGAAAGCGAUUCUCUGGCCUAUUACUGACACUCAGUGUGCGAAAGCUAGGGGAGCAAACGGGAUUAGAUACCCCGGUAGUCAUAGCUGUAAACGAUGGGCACUAAGUAGAGGGGUUUUA